CAGUCGCCGCGGGAACACGGAGGGAGCUAGCGUUGUUCGGAAUUACUGGGCGUAAAGCGCACGUAGGCGGCUUUGUAAGUUAGAGGUGAAAGCCUGGAGCUCAACUCCAGAAUUGCCUUUAAGACUGCAUCGCUUGAAUCCGGGAGAGGUGAGUGGAAUUCCGAGUGUAGAGGUGAAAUUCGUAGAUAUUCGGAAGAACACCAGUGGCGAAGGCGGCUCACUGGACCGGCAUUGACGCUGAGGUGCGAAAGCGUGGGGAGCAAACAGGAUUAGAUACCCCAGUAGUCCCUGUCUCUUAUAC
rnacentral:rRNA from 1 species